rnacentral:rRNA from 1 species
AACGAACGCUGGCGGCAUGCCUAACACAUGCAAGUCGAACGAGACCUUCGGGUCUAGUGGCGCACGUGUUCGUAACGCGUGGGAACCUGCCCUUAGGUUCGGAAUAACUCCCCGAAAGGGGUGCUAAUACCGGAUAAUGUCUUCGGACCAAAGAUUUAUCGCCUUUGGAUGGGCCCGCGUUGGAUUAGCUAGUUGGUAGGGUAAAAGCCUACCAAGGCGACGAUCCAUAGCUGGUCUGAGAGGAUGAUCAGCCACACUGGGACUGAGACACGGCCCAGACUCCUACGGGAGGCAGCAGUGGGGAAUAUUGGACAAUGGGCGAAAGCCUGAUCCAGCAAUGCCGCGUGAGUGAUGAAGGCCUUAGGGUUGUAAAGCUCUUUUACCCGGGAUGAUAAUGACAGUACCGGGAGAAUAAGCUCCGGCUAACUCCGUG